CAAGUCGAACGGUAACAGCGGAAGCUUGCUUCCGGCUGACGAGUGGCGGACGGGUGAGUAACACGUAGGAAUCUACCUAGUAGUGGGGGACAACCCGGGGAAACCCGGGCUAAUACCGCAUACGCUCUACGGAGGAAAGCAGGGGAUCUUCGGACCUUGCGCUAUUGGAGGAGCCUGCGUCGGAUUAGCUAGUUGGUGGGGUUAAGGCCUACCAAGGCGACGAUCCGUAGCUGGUCUGAGAGGACGAUCAGCCACACUGGAACUGAGACACGGUCCAGACUCCUACGGGAGGCAGCAGUUAGGAAUCUUGGGCAAUGGGCGCAAGCCUGACCCAGCCAUGCCGCGUGUGUGAAGAAGGCCUUCGGGUUGUAAAGCACUUUCAGCGGUGAAGAAAAGCUCAGGGCUAAUACCCUUGAGUCUUGACGUUAACCACAGAAGAAGCACCGGCUAACUCCGUGCCAGCAGCCGCGGUAAUACGGAGGGUGCGAACGUUAAUCGGAAUCACUGGGCGUAAAGCGCGCGUAGGCGGUCUGUUAAGUGGGAUGUGAAAUCCCCGGGCUUAACCUGGGAAUUGCAUUUCAAACUGGCCGACUAGAGUACGGUAGAGGGAGGUAGAAUUUCCUGUGUAGCGGUGAAAUGCGUAGAUAUAGGAAGGAAUACCAGUGGCGAAGGCGGCCUCCUGGAUCGAUACUGACGCUGAGGCGCGAAAGCGUGGGGAGCAAACAGGAUUAGAUACCCUGGUAGUCCACGCCGUAAACGAUGAGAACUAGCCGUUGGGCCCCUUGAGGGUUUGUGGCGUAGCUAACGCGAUAAGUUCUCCGCCUGGGGAGUACGGCCGCAAGGCUAAAACUCAAAUGAAUUGACCGGGGCCCGCACAAGCGGUGGAGCAUGUUGUUUAAUUC
rnacentral:rRNA from 1 species